UUCCGCUGUGUCAUCUGACUUUUGAAAGAGAGGUGAGUUUCGCGGAAUCUCUGAACCACUUGCCAAUCCGUGGUAUGUUCAUAUUUUUGGUUUUUUCACGUCAAGAUGUUGCCAUGUUUGUCUCUCUAGAGUUUUCGCUAUUGCUUUGUCUCUCUCUUUGUCAUUGGCUCUCUGUGUUCCCUAGGGUUCCAUUAUCAAAUCCUUAAACUUUCUGCUCUUUUCCUUGUUACUUUUAUGUCAGCCACAUAACUUUAAUCGCAGGGAAUAACUCUUUAAUUCAUCUUUUAGCUUUUGAAUCCUCCAUACUAUUUGUUCAUUUGGGCUGAAAAUCUUUGGUUUUCAGCCAAUUUAACUGAUGAUUAGACUUUGGGCAGAUGAAAUCUCAUCUGGGUCGUGAUUGAAUUGGGAGAUUUCUUUGUGUUCGUGUAGAACACAAGUUUUGAACUACAAUUGUCCAUCUGGGUUUCUCUGGUUUCCGUCGAUAAGAGUAGAGGGCUCGAAACUUCAUCUGGGUGGAGGCCAAAAGUUUGAAAUUUUGCUACUGUCUCACUCAAUUGGAACUUAUUGCUCUUAGUUCUUCGUGUUCUUUGCCAUAAUGGAGGACGGAGAGCUCGAUUUUUCGAACCAAGAGAUGUUUUCGGGUCCAAACAUGGGGGGUGAACAUCCGAGUAGUUGCUCAAUGGACAGCUUCUUUGAUGACCUUCUUAAGGACACUCAUGCUUGCACUCACACCCACACUUGCAACCCACCUGGCCCUGACUACUCUCAUACACACACUUGCUUUCAUGUACACACUAAAAUCGUGUCUUCAGCAACAGGAAGUGAAGACAAGGCUGGAACUGAUGACACUGCUGAAUCUGGGGAAAAGAAAUCGAAGAAACGGCCUUUAGGUAAUCGAGAAGCAGUUCGUAAGUACCGCGAGAAGAAGAAGGCACGGGCAGCGUCUUUGGAGGAUGAAGUUGUGAGAUUGAGAGCUCUGAAUCAGCAGUUGUUGAAGAGGUUGCAAGGUCAGGCUGCAUUGGAGGCUGAGAUUGCGAGGCUCAAGUGUUUGCUUGUGGACAUUCGAGGAAGGAUUGAAGGAGAAAUUGGAUCUUUUCCAUAUCAGAAAUCAGUGAAUCCCAACCUGCCCAACCCAAACAUCCCCAGUGCGUAUGUGAUGAAUCCAUGUAAUCUACAGCGUGAUGAUCAGCUUUAUUGUCUUCAUCAAGGGGCUGAUGGAAAAUGUGGAGAUGGGGCGGUGAUGAAUGGGCAAGGAUUUAGCGGUUGUGAUUUUGAGAAUCUUCAGUGUUUGGUAAAUCAGGAUGGAGGAUACAAGGAGCUUUCUGGUUGUGGACUUGGAGAUGGGGUGUCAAAUGGUAAUUCUUCUGCCACAAAUAAGAGGAAGGGAGGGGCUCGAGCCGCAGCAGCAAACUGAAGGGCUUGGGAAGGAAGCAGUGUCAUUAUCCCCAUGAGUACAUAUAUUGCCCUGCAAUAAGUAGUUUUUCAAACUGCAGCAUCAGCUCUCCUUCAGACCGUAGAGAAGGUGGCAUGUGAUUUCUAUCAUGUUUCAGUACUAUGAGCUGUAAACAGUACAUUGCCCUUAGGUGAUGCAUCUGGUCAUUGUGCAUGUCAGUGGACACCCUAUUUCCACCAUUGACGAUGGCAAGGAGAAUCUCUGUAGGUUCCUUGCCUUUGGAUGGUCAGUAUGUGCUUCUGCUAACCAACUUAUUUUAGUGAUCUGGAUUCAUGUGUAGACAGUUGGCUUUUAAUAUCCACUGGUGAAUUUCUUAUAGGUUCAUUCUCAUUUAUAUGAUGGGUAAUAUCAUUAGAGAGAAAAGUGAAAAGAGUUGGUGUAUAUUGAUAUCCCCACUAACGUGAUUUUGAUCACUGAGAAACGAAUAAAGUUUUUUCUUCUUCCUUUUUGAA